rnacentral:rRNA from 1 species
AGCAGCCGCGGUAAAUUCCAGCUCCAAUAGCGUAUAUUAAAGUUGUUGCAGUUAAAAAGCUCGUAAUUGAAUUUCGAGAUCAAAUUGUUGGUCGUGCCUUGGUACGUACUGGCAUUAUUGAUUUCUCCCUUCUGAAGAACCACGAUGUCAUUAAUUUGGUGUCAUGGGGAAUCAGGACUGUUACUUUGAAAAAAUUAGAGUGUUUAAAGCAGGCUAACGCUUGAAUACAUUAGCAUGGAAUAAUGAAAUAGGACGUUUGAUUCUAUUUUGUUGGUUUCUAGGAUCGACGUAAUGAUAAUAGGGAUAGUUGGGGGCAUUAGUAUUCAAUUGUCAGAGGUGAAAUUCUUAGAUUUAUUGAGGACUAACUACUGCGAAAGCAUUUGCCAAGGAUGUUUUCAUU